UAACGCGUGAGCAACCUGCCUUUCAGAGGGGGAUAACGAUUGGAAACGAUCGCUAAUACCGCAUAACAUUGCAGAGCCGCAUGGUUUUGCAAUCAAAGGAGCAAUCCGCUGAGAGAUGGGCUCGCGUCCAAUUAGGUAGAUGGCGGGGUAGAGGCCCACCAUGCCGACGAUUGGUAGCCGGACUGAGAGGUUGAACGGCCACAUUGGGACUGAGACACGGCCCAGACUCCUACGGAAGGCAGCAG
rnacentral:rRNA from 1 species